AGGGUGUAAACGCUGCAGACUUGGUGUUGGGAACCCUUCGGGGGUGCUCAGUGCCGGAGAGAAGUUGUUAAGUCUGCUACUUGGGAGUACGUCCGCAAGGAUGAAACUUAAAGGAAUUGGCGGGGGAGGCACCGCAACGGGAGGAGCGUGCGGUUUAAUUGGAUUCAACGCCGAAAAACUCACCAGCAGCGACUGUUACAUGAAAGUCAGGUUGAUGACCUUACUAGAUUUUCAGAGAGGUGGUGCAUGGCGUCAGUGACU
rnacentral:rRNA from 1 species